GACGAACGCUGGCGGCGUGCUUAACACAUGCAAGUCGAACGAAAAGAGGGAAAGAGCUUGCUCUUUCCGGAAUUGAGUGGCAAACGGGUGAGUAACACGUAAACAACCUGCCUUCAGGAUGGGGACAACAGACGGAAACGACUGCUAAUACCGAAUAAGUUCCAAGAGCCGCAUGGCCCAUGGAAGAAAAGGUGGCCUCUACCUGUAAGCUAUCGCCUGAAGAGGGGUUUGCGUCUGAUUAGCUGGUUGGAGGGGUAACGGCCCACCAAGGCGACGAUCAGUAGCCGGGCUGAGAGGAUGAACGGCCAAACUGGAACUGAGACACGGUCCCGACCCCUAAGGGAGGCAGCAGUGGGGAAUCUUCCGAAAGGGGCGACAGCCUGACGGAGCAAAGCCGCGUGAGUGAUGAAGGCCUUCGGGUUGUAAAACUCUGUGAUCCGGGACGAAAAGGCAGCGUGCGAAGAACAAACUGCAUUGACGGUACCGGAAAAGCAAGCCACGGCUAACUACGUG
rnacentral:rRNA from 1 species